CUGCCUGUACCUCAGUUGGAUAGAGGGUCCGCCUCCUAAGCGGAACGCCCCCGGUUCAAUUCCGGGCAGGGACGCCA
rnacentral:tRNA from 1 species